GGGGUUACAGCUCUGUGGUAGGGCACAUGCUUGGAGUGCAUGAGGUCCUGGGUUCAAUCCCCAAUGCCUUCA
rnacentral:tRNA from 1 species